rnacentral:lncRNA from 1 species
GGGGGGAUCCCGGUCCCGGUCCCGGUCCCAGUCGUGAGGCUCAAGGAAACGCGGGGCGGGGGGGUAGGGGGGGGUUUGGGGGAGGUUUUGGGGGGGGUCGCCCUCCAUCCUCCGAGCCCUCCGGUGCCGUUUUCCCGGGAUGGGGCCGGGGGGGGGCACCCGGGGGUGCAGCCGCCGGUACCGGGGCUCACGGGGGGGCUGCGGGCACCGGGGCUGCCUCCUCCUCCUCCUCCUCCUCCUCCUCCUCAUCCUCAUCUUCAGCCUCGUCCCAGUCCCGGGCUGGGGGGGCCACCCGUGAACAAUGAGCAGCCCCCGGCCCGGGGUGGGGGCCCCCGGCUGCUGCGGGGGCUUGGGGGGAGCUCCCGGAGUCGGUUGGGGUUGGGGUGGUUUGGGGCUGGGGUCGGGGCCGGGAUCUCCCCCCGGUUCCUUUCCCCCAUCCCCGUGCAGCCUUCGGGAGCCGCUCCCCCCCCCACCCUUCCCCGCCCCCCCGGCCUCGUAGCGGUUUUUUGGAGCACCGGGCGCGUGGGGAGCGGUUUUGUAACGGGACGGCGGGGCCGAGCAGCACACCCGGGUGUGGCCCCCCCGGUGCCGGGCAGAGCCCCCCCGGCUGCCCCACGGCCCCAUCCCGGUCCCUUCAGGGGGUUGUGCCGCGGGGUCCCUCCGUGGUUCGCUUCCCAAUUGCCCCGAGCGCGCUCCCGCCGGGGUUGCGGUGCCCUCGUCCUCCCGUGUGGCUCCCCCCGAGCCCCGGGGUGCUCUCUGGGUGCUCCCCGGGUGCUCCCCGACUUCGUUCCGUGCCUCGACGCCUCCCGCAGUGCGAGUUCCCGACCUGUCCCGCUUGUGCCCAUCCUUCUGCCGCAUCCGUUCUGCUGCUGGGUUUUGCCCCCCUCAUUUGGCUCACGGAGACCCCGGCCCCGGUGCUUGUUCCCCGCUCGCAGCUGCGGGAUCAGCUCCCGGGGCAGCGACGUGCGCCCGUGUCCCGCGGGGCCCUGCGGGGCUCCGUGUGCGCCUCGGCUCCCCCGGCCACGGGGCAGGGCCAGCACCGGGCUGAAAAGAACUUCAGAGACCCCACGGAGGCAUCAGGAGGAGAUGGGGCACGGGGCACAGCACCAAGAGGACGCCUCCCCCCCUGCCCCUGGCGGGUCGGUGCCGUGUAACCGUCGUUGAGCUCCCCCCGUGCUGCGGGGCCGUGGAACCGCGGCGCUCAGACACGCAGCUCCUGCUGGUGGAGGUCGGCGCCUCCCUCCCGGGGUCUGCAGGAAGGAUUCUGCCCGCCGGCCGCAGCAGGUGCUGCAGAAGGAACUUUUUUCUCCCCCCUUUUGCUGCCGGGGGAGUCGGAGGAAGCGCGGCUCGCCCUUUCAUCUCUCGCAAGCUCGGCCGAGCUGGUGGUGGCGGUUAUUUAUUGCGCGUUGCGGUGGUGCCUGGAGGGCACGACACGGAUUGAGAUGCUGAACAAAGACGUGGUAAAAGCUGGCCCGGGGUUGGCUCCGAAUUCAAACUCCGUCGGAGUGGCUGGGCCCCGGGAACGUGUUUAAGCCCAGCGAUUCCUCACCGUGCUGCUCCGCGCUGCUCUUCCCAUCA